AUACGGAGGAUGCGAGCGUUAUCCGGAUUUAUUGGGUUUAAAGGGUGCGUAGGCUGUGCGUUAAGUCAGGGGUGAAAUGCCGUCGCUCAACGACGGAGCUGCCCUUGAUACUGGCGUGCUGGAGUACGGAUGCCGUUGGAGGAAUGAGUGGUGUAGCGGUGAAAUGCUUAGAUAUCACUCAGAACACCGAUUGCGAAGGCAUCUGACGAAUCCGUCACUGACGCUGGGGCACGAAAGCGUGGGGAUAGAACAGGAUUAGAUACCCUGGUAUUCCACGCCGUAAACGAUGAUGACUAACCGUCGGCGAUAGACAGCCGGUGGCCAAGCGAAAGCGAUAAGUCAUCCACCUGGGGAGUACGUCGGCAACGAUGAAACUUAAAGGAAUUGACGGGG
rnacentral:rRNA from 1 species